rnacentral:lncRNA from 1 species
AACAUUUUCCUACAACCAAAGUACACAAAAGGAACCUACAUACAUUAACAGAUAAAUCAAAACAAACCCUAUAAUAGACAAACAACUAAGCCUUCUUAGGUGAUUUCUUUGGAGACUUUGUAGCCUUAGAUGGCGACUUAGGCUCUUUUGCAGCCGCUUUCUCGUUUUUCUUUGGUAAAAGAACUGGGUUAAUAUUGGGUAAAACACCACCAUGAGCAAUAGUCACACCAGCUAAAAGCUUCCCAAGCUCUUCAUCGUUUCUCACUGCUAAUAGAACAUGCCUUGGAAUGAUCCUAUUCUUCUUGUUGUCUCUUGCAGCAUUACCAGCUAACUCAAGAACCUUUAAAUAAUUAAAAAAGAAAAACAAACCCAAUCUUAAAAACAUACUUAAGGGUGUAUCUAUACUUUAAGGUUUCAAUCAACCAAAUCCCCAAAUUCAAUGGGGAUAAUUCAACGGUUAAAAUAUGCCUAUAGUCCCUAAACAAGUACAGGGACUAAUUUCAUAAUUCUUUAAAAGUAUAGGGACUAUAAGCACAUUUUAACCUAAUUCAACGCUUGGGAAAAAGUAAAUUUACCUCAGCAGCAAGGUAUUCAAGAACAGCAGCAAGGUAAACCGGAGCACCGGUUCCCACACGUUGAGAGUAUCGCCCUUUCUUCAAGUAUCGGCCAAUUCGACCAACGGGAAACUGUAAUCCGGCUUUCACCGAACGAGAAACCGGCUUCUUCUUUGGACCGCCGCCUUUCCUUCCUCCAGCUCCUUUCUUCACCUUUGAUCCGGCAUCCAUCACUUCAAAUACAAAUUGGAGGAAAAAAUCGAAAACGGAAAUGAAAUUUCGCAGUAAAAUUUUCUCGAGAAAAUGUUUGUGAUUUCUUAUCGGAAAAUUUGGUUAUAUUUAUAUGCGAGGUGAGAAAAAUGGGAGACAUUUGGCUUACGGAUUUGGAAAUUUUGAGCCGCUUGAUUGGUAGUUUAAUCGACGGCGGAUAAUAAUCUUGUUUGGCGAUCCUCGUGAAAUGGAACGAUCCAAUCAACUUGUUAGAAAGCGUUAGAUCUAUUAAUAAGUAAUUAUUUGGGUCAAUUUUACAUAUAGUCCCUCAACUAUUAAUUGAUUUCCAUUUUGAUCACUUAAGUUUAAUUUUUUUAUCAUUAACAUUAUCGAAAUUACCAAAUAAUUACCACCAUCCGUAUACCAAAUACUUACCCUAAUGCAUUAAUAAAAUUAUUUUCAUUUAAAUAAUAAACAAUUUAAAAUAGUACACUACACAACUUAUAACUCAAUAUUCAUAUGUUUUUAUUUUAAGCACUGAUUUUUUUUUUUUGCAAAAAGGGCACAAUUGUUAGCAAUAUUUUCAUUUUACUCACUCUAGGUUAUAAAGGUCGACAAAAAUCCUAUCUACAAUGCCAUAUCUUUUUGUUUUCCACAUAUGUAUAUAAUUUCCACCUCUGAUUCCCAUCCUCAUAUCCCUCAAUCUUCAUCUUCAAACACAGCCUUCCACAUUCUAGUCCUCUAACUCAAACCAGCUCCAUGCACAAAAAAUUUCAGUCAUUGUUACUAUCAUCCAAUGCUAAAAUCGACCACCAUCUAUACCACAUCAACCACUGCCUAACCCCAUUACCACCAUCACUUGUCGUAACAGUAACCAAAUAAAAAACCCCCAAACAACCCAAUAACAAUAAACAUCCACAUAAAAAAUACCUAAUUUCUAAUCAAUAAGAGGGAGAGAAGGGGAACAGAGGGGGAGGGAGGGAGGGAGAGAGAGUGUGGGGGGGGGGAGAAGAAGAAGAAAAAUAAGGAGUGAGAAAAAGAAACACAAGAGAAGAAGAAACCCCUUUAAGGUUUAUGAUGGCGGACGACAGUUAACCUAAAUGAAGUAAAUGUGACACAUCACGUGUAGUUAUCUGGUUAGUCUAUUAGCCACGUCAGUUUUUAACAAUACAAAUAAAUGAAAAUUUCAAUAGAAAUGAUCAGUUUGCUUUUUGAUCUAAUAUAUAGGUACUAAUUUGCACAUUUUUUAAAUAAAUGAGACAAAAUACAAUCUGUUUCCUUGGACAAAAACCUCCAUAUUAAGAUUGUAAUGGCAAAUAUUGUUGCAUUUGGAGUUACGAAAUGAUUGUAAUGGUUGAAAGUAUUAAUUUAGCUUAAAUAAAAUACAAUGAAUCAUAACUUUAGUUGACUAUCGUCUGCAAAAAUUGUGGGUAGUAUAUGAAUAACUUAAAAGCUUUUUGAAUAAACCCAACAAUAGCUCAAUCUAUUUUAAGUUGAUUGUACCCGUACCAUCUAACAAUUUUGUUCAUUAGGAAACCAGUUUCAAAUGGCCCCGAUUCUAAUCUCGGUGGAGGAGGUCUGUAUUCCCUUAGUUUGGCAGCGUUAACGAAAAUAGUCGAUCCAUGCAAGAACUUUACAUUUCUCAAAAACGAUGUAGAUUAACUACUAGAUUACAUUUCAAAUAAAUAUUUAUAUAUAAAGAGAUUUUCAAAUUUUAAAAAAAUUAUCGUUGUCACCUGUUAAUUAGAUUAUUUUCUGUUAUCUUAGUUAGGAGAUUUAGUCAAAUUAGUAUUAAAUAAUUAUCCUAAUUUAUUGGUUAUUUUGUUGAGUAAGAGUGCUAGUAUUUAAAGGUUGUCAAUCUCUUAAGAAUCUGCAAAACUAUUACAACAGACUAUUACAACAGAUUAUUUUGUUCUUUUAUAUAAACUCUAAAAUAUAACGUUGAUAAUGAGGACAAAUUUUUAUUCAAUCAAAAAUAUAUUAAGUUCUCAAUUACUAUUAAAAUCUAACAUUUGGUAUCAGAGCUUGAAGAGGAUGACAUUUGAUAACAACCAUCAAUUUCUCGUUUAGAUAAUUUUUAUGAUUACUGGACUAUGUUGAUGAAGAAUUUAUUAAGGUCCAAAGAAUAUUAGGACAUUGUGGAGAAUCGUGUAGCUAAAUCAACAACAAGAGAAAUGUCUACUGAAGCACAAGCCAAGGCUUUGGCAGAUUGAAAACUCAAAGAUUUAAAAGCAAAAAAUUAAUUAUUUCAAGCAACUAAUCAUUCAAUUUUAGAGACAAUUCUCCAAAAGGAUACUUCCUAGCAGAUUUGGGAUUCAAUGAAAAAGAAGUUUUCGGCAUCAAAUAGGGUUAAGCAAAUAUUGCUUCGAUCAUUGACAAGAGAAUUUGAACUUCUUCAAAUGAAAUCAAGAGAAUUUGUCAUAGAUUUCAUUAGAAGAACAAUGGGAAUUGUAAACAAGAUGUGCUUUCAUGGUGUAGACAUGAAAGAUGCUAAAAUUGUGUUGAAGAUAUUGAGAUCACUAACUCCAAAAUCGAAUUAUGUUUUUUGUUCCAUUGAAGAAUCUAAAAAUGUUAAUUUGUCCAUUGAUGAUGAGCUACAAAGCUCUUUAAUUUGUCAUGAGCCCAAAGUCAAUCUCUCAAAGCGUGCACCGAAUCCUCAAAUACAAAAGGAAGUGGUCGUGGAAGGGGAGGACGUGGUCGUGAGAAUAAAGACAACAGAUCUUAUAAUUCCACUCAUGCUUCUAAAAUAGAAGAUUCCUAAUAAAGAGGAAGAGGUUAUUUUGACAAACUUAAGAUUGAAUGUUAUAGAUGUGGGAAUUAUGAUCACUAAAAGAAUGAAUGAUAUACAAAGCUAUCAAAAGAAAAAGGAAGAAAAGUCUAAAUUUGUCGAACUGAAGGAAGAGGGGACACUUUUGAUGGCCUUUUACGCAAUAGAGGAGUUCGAUCAACAAACUUGGUAUGUGGAUACAGGCUGCAACAAUCACAUGAUCGGUUGUAAGUCUUUUUUUACUAAAUUAGAUGAAAGUUCUCAUACAAUCAUGAAUUUUGGGGAUAAGUUAACUAUUUAAGUGAUGGGAAAAGGUGAUAUUCAGAUCAAAACCAUGAAUGUUUUUAUUGAAACAAUUUCAAAUGUUUUUUUAUGUUCCUAAUUUGAAAACUAAUCUUUUGAGUGCUCGUCAGUUACAAGAUAAAGUAUACAAUAUCACAAUUUUCAAUGGAGAAUGUGAGGUGUAUGAUUUGAAAAAAGGGUCCAUUGUUGUUGUUAAAAUGAGUGCAAACAUGUUAUUUCCUUUGAAGAUUAAAACACUUCAUGAUUGUCUGCUAGCUAAAAUAGAUGAUUCACCAUGGAAGUGACAGUAUAGAUUAAAGACUAUUCAACAAAAGCAAAUGGUUAUUGGUCUUCCUGUAAUUAUUCAUCCAUCAAAGCCCUGUGAAGAAUGUAUUGUUGAAAAGCAGCAUAAGGAUGCUUUCUCAGGUGAAAAAGUGGAAAGAACUCAAGUUGUGCUUGAAUUAGUUCACUCAUACUUAUGUGGACCAAUCAAUCCAACUUCCAAUGGUAAAAAAAAUAUAUUUUCAUUUAUUAAUGAUUUUAGUCAGAAAGCUUGGGUGUACUUUUUGUAGGAAAAAUCUAAAGCAUUUGAUGCUUUCAAGAGUUUUAAAGCUCUUGUUGAAAAUCAAGUUGAUAAAAAAAAAUCAAAACACUUAGAAUAGACUGUGGAGGAAAAUUUUGCUUUAUUGUGAAUCAAAUGACAUAAAGAGACAAUUGACUGCUCCAUAUUCACCACAACAAAAUGGUAUAUGUGAAAGAACAGAAUCAUUCUCAAUAUGGUUAGGAGCUUGCUUGCAACAAAAAGAGUUCCAAAAAAAUUAUGGCCUGAAACAGUGAUGUGGUCAAUUCAUGUUUUAAACAGAAGUCCAACAUUGGCAGUGAAACACAUGACGCCUCAAGAGGCAUGGAGCGACAAGAAACUCGUUGUUGAUCAUUUUAAGAUAUUUUGAUGCGUUGCAUAUGCACAUAUAGCAAGAAACCCGUUGUUGAUCAUUUUAAGAUAUUUGGAUGUAUUGCAUAUGCACAUAUAUCUAAUGAAAGAAGAAUGAACUUGAUGCCAAAAGUCAGAAAUGUGUAUUUCUUGGAGUUAGUGGAAUUUCAAAAGCUUUCAAGUUGUUUAAUCCCUCAACGAAGAAAGUGAUAAUCAACAGAGACGUUGUAGUUGAUGAAGAAGCUAGAUGGGAUUGGGUUGAUGGCAAUUUAGUUCCAAGUUUAAUAUCAAAUGAUGAUGUCUCAACUGUUAGAGGCUAGUGAAAUUCAAGAUCAACAACCAACAUCACAUGAGCGACAAUCAACUUCACCUCAAAUUCUAACUUAAUCUCAUCAACAUUUAGAAGAAGAAGAAGAAGAAGAAGAAGAAGAAAGGAGAUAUAAUUUGAAGGAUGAAAACUCAAGGAAAAGGCCAGCAUGGAUGAAUUUGACGAUAUUAUUACAGAUGAUGGUGUUUAUUUUGGAUUAUAUGUUGAUAGGGAUCUAAUCACUUUUUAUGAGGCUAUGAAAGAGAUGAAAUGGAAAGAGACAAUGGAUAAAGAAAUUGAGUCCAUUGAAAAAAAUCAAACUUGGGAGUUGACAGAUCUGCCCGAAGGACAAAAAAGCAUCGAUGUCAAAUGGAUUUUCAAGACGAUGUUGAAUGAGAAAUGUGAAAUUGACAAACACAAGACUUGGUUGGUAGCAAAAGGCUGUAAGCAAAAGAGCAUGAGAUUGGUUAUAAGGAAGUUUUUGCCCCAAUUGUAAGGCUGGAUACAAGUGAAUUCGCUUACAGCACAACACUCAUGGCCGAUUCUUCAAUUAGAUGUUAAGUCCAUGGCAACUUACAAGAUGAAGUAUUUGUUGAUGAACCACCUGGUUACGAGAAGGGUUAGAAAAGAAGGUUUAUCGACUAAAGAAAACUCUCUAUGGACUGGUAAAUAUAAAUGUGAUAUUUUUUGGGAUUAGAAGUCAUUCAAAUUGCCCUUACUAAUUUUAUUUAUCAAAAGAAAUAAGAUUCUUGCAAUGUUCAAAAUAACAUAUUGCAAGUCAUUUGCUACACCAACUAAACCUAGCUUGAAGCUGCACAAAAAUGAUGAAGGAAGAGAAAUAGACAACACUUAUUUUAAGCAAAUAGUUGGUAGCCUCGUGUAUUUGAUAUCUACCAAGCUUGACAUCAUGCAUGCUAUGAGUUUAAUUAGCAGAUACAUAGAUAAGCCGACUGAAUGCAUCUCAAUGCAGCUAAAAGCGUUUUGAGAUAUGUGAAGGCGCAAUUGAUCAUGGUGUGUUUUACAAAAAGGAUAUUGAUGUUAAUAUUGUUGAGUAUACUAAUAGGUAACUAUACAGGGGACAUUGAUGAUCGUAAGAACACUUCCAGUUAUGCGUCCAAGUUUAAUUCAGGUGCAAUAUCAUGGUUGUCAAAGAAACAGCAAAUAGUUACACUUCCCACAACCAAGGUUGAAUUUGUGGCAUCAACUUCAAGUACGAGUCAAGCAUUGUUGUGGCUUAGAAAUAUGUUCAAAAUACUUGGAGCUGAACAAUCAUAAACCAUGAUAAUAUGUAAAGCAUCAAGCUGUUAAGAAAUCCAGUGAUGCAUGAGAGAAAGCAAACAUAUGGAUGUUUGUUUUCAUUUUUUGAGGGAUCUAUGCAAGGAAGAGAAGAUAGAGUUGCAGUUCUGCAAGAGCAAUGAACAAAUUACUGAUAUUCUGACCAAACCACUUAAACAACCAGCAUUUGAAAAACUAAGGAUGCUUGAAGUUUGUUGUUCUCAAGGCAUUGAUCAAGGACUUGUCAAAACAAAUCAACCCUAAACUGUUUUCAGCAUAAAUCAGUUUAAGGGAGUGUCAAAUCAGUUCAAAGGAAUGUGAUGGUUAGAUGUUUAGUGCGUGAAGAAGAUGAUGUUGAAGGAAGGGACAAUUAUGCCGUAUGGACCUUUAUCACUGCCAACAGUCAACGAGGAAGAAGUGCAACUAUUGCAAGGGACGAAUUCCCCCUACAACAAAGCCAUAUAAUCUGAAUUUCAUUCAUUCAUUUCAAACAAAACCUAUUCGAAAUAACACUGGGAAAUUAGACUUUAGAAAUACAAUGGCCCUAAAUUCCUACAUUACCAACAUUAACAUUUUCCUACACAAAGGAAACUACAUACAUAAUUAAAUAAAUGAAACUAAGCCUUCUUAGGAGACUUCUUGGUAGCCUUGGAUGGCGAUUUAGGCUCCUUGGUCGCCACCUUUUCGUUUUUCUUUGGUAAAAGAACUGGGUUAAUAUUGGGUAAAACACCACCAUGAGCAAUGGUCACACCAGCUAAAAGCUUCCCAAGUUCUUCAUC